UGGGGAAUUUUGGACAAUGGGCGCAAGCCUGAUCCAGCAAUGCCGCGUGUGUGAAGACGGCCUUCGGGUUGUAAAGCACUUUUGUCCGGAAAGAAAACCUCGUGGUUAAUACCCGUGGGGGAUGACGGUACCGGAAGAAUAAGCACCGGCUAACUACGUGCCAGCAGCCGCGGUAAUACGUAGGGUGCAAGCGUUAAUCGGAAUUACUGGGCGUAAAGCGUGCGCAGGCGGUUCGCUAAGACAGAUGUGAAAUCCCCGGGCUUAACCUGGGAACUGCAUUUGUGACUGGCGGGCUAGAGUAUGGCAGAGGGGGGUAGAAUUCCACGUGUAGCAGUGAAAUGCGUAGAGAUGUGGAGGAAUACCGAUGGCGAAGGCAGCCCCCUGGGCCAAUACUGACGCUCAUGCACGAAAGCGUGGGGAGCAAACAGG
rnacentral:rRNA from 1 species